CGCAGCCGCCGCGCCUCGCCCGGGGCUGGGCGCGGCCCCGCCGUGCCGGGCACCGGGGCUGGAACCGGGCCGGGUCCGGCCGCUGCCUCUCGGCUUCCCCAGCAGCGCGGCGCUCCGCAUUCACGAGUCCUGAAUCAGGCCAGCCGGACUCGGGGCGUGAUUUCCUAAUGCCGGUUUGCAAAAGAUGAAGGAUAUGCCAUCCAGCAGUACUUCACUUAUUUCUCCGAUCCUGACUUAGGCGGAGAUAACCUGCCUCUGGAAUGACCAAGACUGAGUUUCACCCAGUGUUUAUCCUCCACACGUACAGCUGUGACUAGGGAUUACAUUUUUAAGAAGGUUCAUGGAAGUGUGUGUAGCUGCUCUGGAAGUUGAACUAGCUUGGGCAUGAAGAUUAUAUUCCUUUAUUUUUGGAUGCGUGGUGUGUCUUGGAUAUUCUUUUGUGAUGACGAGAAAUGCCAUAUCCUGAGAUGCCUGUCUUCCCCACCCCAAUCCAAGCCCUAGGUGGAGAGCAGUUGGCUCCAUCAAACAGGACUUAUCUGUGUUUCUGCCAUACCAUUCUGUACUUAAAUGGGUUUGUGAUGCUUUCAAUAUGCAUUAAUAGCUGCUUGGCUUUGAAAUCAUGGCUUCUAAAGGAGGAAGAAGCAAAAGUUUGCGUUCUUUCUUGUGCUCUGUCUUCACCCCUAUGCCUCUUGUAGCUGGAUGUCUCUUGAAUUCUUAAGUAGGAGAUGUGGGCUUGAAUCCCCAUUAGGCUGAAGAAGGCACUAAGCCCAGACUCCCCUCUUUUCUGAGUGCAUUACCCCAUCACUUAUCCAAUGAGAUAUUUUAUUCUCUAUACGAACCUUGUGUCCUUUUAUCUUCAGGAAAAAACUUGAGGCUCUGGAAGUGCUUGCCUACAGGACCUGGUUUGGGUGUGUUUUGGAAAGGAAUGGCAUUCAUACUUGUGCCUUCUUCUUGGGGUUGCAUUCUGGAGAUGUCAAAUUAACGUCAUGUUCUGGCCCUAAAUCUGUUAAGACUGCCCUGCAGAGGGAGAAGUCUGAGUGGGUGGAAAACUGAGUUGGUUUAUGAUUCAGAACAAGAAAUGUGAUUGUCCUUAUCUUACAAAAAGGAAGUGCAAAUAAUGCUUGGUCGUAAACAUUUCCAGUGUUAUUAGCCAGCUGCAUAGUUAAUCUGUGUGAACUCCAGCAGUACUGGAUUUCACUAAUGAUUACAUACCAUGUGCAAUCACUGUUUCUUGCUUGUAAAUUCCAUUUCUUUUUACCUGCACAUUCCUUGUAACACUUAUUUUAUUGAAAUUUAGUAGAAAUUUAUUAGAAAUUUUGACAAAAAAAUCCAAAUUUAACUUUACCUAGGUAUAGAUCCACUGAGUAGAUUUUUGGCUGUGCUUUUUCCUAAAUCCUAAUCAUUUAAAUUAAAGUGGCUGUUUAAAUUAUUUUUGUUGUGUUCAGGCAAGAUGAGCUGCAGUGCCAUGUGGGAUUGCUUUUAUACUGAUUCCUGUACUGUUUGAAUCUUUAAAGAACUGGAUUUUUUAACAGCUUAAUGUCAGGAUUGCAUUUUCAAGUUUCCAUGGAAAAGGAUGUUUGUGUUGAGCUGCAUUUUUGUGUAACUAAUUGCAUCUUGGCAUGUUACAAGGUAAACUAAUGAUGCAGCUUCCAGUCCACCAAAGUCAACAAGUAGACAGAAGUAUAUUGAUUCACUGUGCAUAGGAAAGUCUGUCUGUACAACCACAAGGACUAAAAACUGCUCUUAAAUGACUGUAAAAAGCUCUUUCCCCUUUGUGUUCUUAUGCUUAUGGCAGUCUAAUAUAAAGGAGGCAUUGUCACAGAAUUACUAAACCAGUUGCUAUCAGUUUUAGAUUAUGAAAAAUAAUUGAUGAUUUAAUUCCCCAUAUUGUGAUUUGCAUAUUAUAUGUAAAAAUUAAAAUAUAUUUUUGGAAUGCUGUAAUUCUUCUCUUCCACAUGACCAACAAUUAGAAAAAUGCAGUAAGUUAUAAAAAUGUGUAGUCAGUUAGCUAUAUUAAAAGAUGAAUCAGUAUUUUGAAAAAACAUAUACAUCAUACUGGAUAUGAAAAUUACACAGCAGUCCUAUGCAACAAGAUUCAGAGUACCUUUGGUGAGGUAUGGCAAUGAUACUUCUGGAAGAGCUGAAUAUUGGUAAGGAUACUAGAAUAAUAGGUGAAAGUAAUGUCAAUUUCAGAAUUCAUGGUCCUUAACACCUUAUCUGAGUCUGUUAACAGAAGCACUUUAGGGAGAGAUGUAAUCUCAUGUCCUAUAUUACAGUGUGCACAAGCAGAUUUCCCCAAGCCAGAUUGGAGCUAAGCAAGGUUUUCCAGACAGGGUCUGCUUCUUCCUGCUAGUUACUUUUUUGUUCUGGAGGAAGUUGCUCCCAAAAGUCAUCUGUGUUUCUUUUAGAUUUGCAAAGCUGUUCUUUCUUAAGAUGGAAUACAAACUCUCCUAAUCCUAUAGUUAGUUACAUAUCAAAAAAGAAAGCCUGGAGCUGAUCAUGCAAAACAAGCUUUUUGUUAAUGGAUGAAAUAAUUUAACAUGCUCCUGGAAAUUGCAUGCAGGAUUUUAAUCUCAUACUGAUACAAACUCUGGAGGCAUUCCCCUUUAGCCAGUGAAAUUAAAUUUGCAUAAAACUGUUUUGCAUAAGAUGAAUGAUAAGGAAAGCCUUUAGCAUCAUUUGUGUAGUGUAUUUACUCAGAGGUAACAGAACUUCAGGGUCAUGGUUGUACCUAUGCGUGUUAUGAAUUAAUGUGCAAAUACAACCACAUUGUUGGGGUUUCUUGGGAGGCAGUGCAGCAGUUUUAGGUUUUUUAACAAGCAGGGCCAGGCUGGUGAAUGCAUGCUGCCCCUUCUUGCAUCAUUACACUAAGGGAAAAACAACUGUUGAAAUGUCUCACUUCGUCCAGUUAAACUGAGCUUGGAAUGUGUGCUGAGGAGAGGAAGUGAAGAUAAAUGUGCCACCUGUUUGGUCCACCAGUGCCAGGGAUGGCUGGUUACCAAACUAGCCCCUGGGGCAGCUUCAAGCAGUCUCAGAGUGGCUCUCUGCAGUGUUUUCUGGCUGGCUCAUAAGGCUGUGGUGGUGCUUUGGAUGUGGCCUCUUCCUGCACAAGUGUCUUCUGUGCCCAGAGCUGUGGGAGGAAAGGCAUUGGCCCGUCUGCUUUGGCUCUCAGGGUACCCUCUAAAGCAGGGAAUCCUUUGCUGGCUGGUUAGAGGUGUUUGAGGGUCCCUUCACACAGGCACCACACAGCUGGAGGCUGGUGUGGAGCCAGGGACCCUCCUGGAGUAAACUGGUGCUAGGGAGGUCAGGCUGAGGUUCCUCACCUGUUCUGAUAACAUUGUUUCCAUGUUCCUGAGCUUACCAGCACUUCAUUUUUGACUUGGUGGCACUGCUGUUCUCUAGCAAUACAGUAUAAGGUGCCAAGGGCCAACCUUUGUUUUAUUUACUUUGAGAAAUUCCUUUUAGAUGUGUGAGGGUGCAGCAAAGGUAAAAAUGCAGAAUCUCACCAUAGCAUAGAGGAAGAUCCUGACCUGAAAUGGUGCAGGAGGCAAGGUGGGUAGAGAGGGACAUGGCAGAGCAAAGUCAAGUUACCUAAUGGGAAAAUGUCUCAAGAAGUCAGUGUCCUGCUCUUGGUAUAGGUGAGCCAGCAGGAAAAACGGUUUGCAUGGAUUGUCCUCAGAAGAGUGUGAAAGUCUCUGAGGUACAAACUGGGAGCAUAAUGUUGUUGUAGAUAAGGGAUGAGUAAAUAGCACUGGUUGUUUAUGACAGAAUUGCCCAGGGAAAACAGUGGAUAGAGUACACAGCAACAAUAAUUUUUUUUUUCCUGUCCCCUUCCAGCUUCAUGGUAUUAAAGAGGACCAGUUCAGCUGGUUGCAGAGGGGCUGAAGGAGGAAGUGCCAAGUGCUGCCAUUGCAGGAUGCAGCACAGACCUGUGCCAUUAGUACUGCUGGUAGCACUCCAGACUUGAUGUAGUAACCUUUGCUCAUAAUGUGUUGGCCUCUGAUCUUAUCUCUCAUUGGGCAGCAGUGGGUAUCCAUUGUUUUCAUGAACUAUCAGUGCUUUCAGGAAGUCACAUUUUUCUUCAGUUGUAGUUUGUUUGCCUUUUGGGGACUGUUUGUUUUAUUGAGCAAAAUCCUGGCUAAAAAUCCAGUAGAAGGCAAAGGAUAAUUAGACAAAAGACAAUGGUGGCUUUAUUUUGUGAUGACUAAAUUCAGGAAGGAGAAGCAUGGAGACAUUAAAAUAUGAUUAUAUAAAAAAAUCAACAUAGUGGUUUGAAAUGGCAUAAAAAUGCAGCUGCAAUAGGAGUGAGUUUAAAGAUUUCAAAGCACUCAGAGAUUAUUUAUUUAUUUGUAAUAUAAAGGAUUUAUCAGUGUUACAAUGUACACGAAUAAUUAGGACUUACCUGACGACUGUUAGUAGGAUGGUGAAGAGCUCUUUGUAUGUAAGUAUAGGCAUUGUUAAGGGAAUCAUAAGUAACUUCUCUAUUUUUAAUUAGUUUCAGUUUCCUUAAAACAGCAGGGUCUUAUUCUAAAGACAUCUGUUGUUACUUACAGUAACUACUGGAGCUAUCAGGCUGAGAGGGAACUCUUCAGCUACAAAUCAAUGGCAGACCUAUAAUCCUUUUACAGACUAUGCAUCAUUUCAAUCUGUCCUCAAGCAUCCAAGUGCCUCUGGUGUUCACAAAAUUAAUUCAUUUCAGUACUAACAGAACAUUUUAAAAAUAAACACAAAGCUUAUGAGUCAGAUACACUGCCACAUUCUACCUUCUUUGUGGAAUGUACAAUACAUGGACAUUUUUCUCUUUUAAAUGAUAGAUGGAAAGCCAUUAUUGGGGUUAUUCUUUUAGAUAAGAAAUGCUGAUACAGCUUCUAGAAACCUUCAGGUGGUCUGAGCCGUGCUUCUGCAUCUUUAGACACUCUGUUGCUGUUCCCAUAUUAAUUAAAGUGAAAAAUGAAUUGAUCACAGUUGUUUGUUUGUAUUGAAAGAAUAUUGAUUUAAUUAUAAAAUUGAAAUUGUUCAUAAAGAGUUGUUUUAUUGUUCUUAUGUAUAGGUGAUUUUAGGGAUGUUGGUACCUGCAGUGUAAUUUUCUUGAGUGAAGUUUACAACAUUUUAUAUCCUGGAGGACUCCAAGGGUCUCAAUUGACAUGAAUGAUUUAUGAUAUAUCAGCACUGGUCUCUCUUGGUUUUGGGUUUUUUUUAAACUUUGAGUAAGCACAAAUACAUGCUCCCUAACCUUGAACUUCAGAUUUUGAGUUUGCCUGUUCUCUGCAAUGAUAAACUCUCGUGGGACAGUCGGGUGUUUUCAGGAGCUGGAUGUCCCUUACAGAACAUGAAACUUCCUUCUAAUGCUUGAUUUUCUUAUGUCAGAUUGAGAAAUGCUGACUGCUUAAGUGCUCAGACCCUCCGAAAGCUCGUCCUGAUAGUGAUGGAAAGUUCUACACAGUAACUCUUUCUGAGCCAUCAAGUCCUGAAGCUACAUCAGAAAUUAACAUAACACAUGAGAACGAUAUCUAUAUUUCAGGGAAUUACUGUGAAUAUAUUUCUGCAGGCCUAUCUCAGCUACUUAGUUCCUAUUGAACCUCACCUCAGACUCUUUCACAAUGUUUUUCUAAACCGCAUUCUUGUUGGCCUGACGUCCUUCAUGAAGAAAUAAGUGUUACACACAGCAUGUAUGCAAUUUCUGGAUAGAAAACAAUCUGUGGUUCUGCUGGCAGGUUUAGCUUCUGCAUCAUCAAGGAAGGAUGGACAUGCUUGUGCACAUGCUUCUCCUAUGUAGAGAGUGUUUUCAUCCACUACAGUGAAUAACUCCUGACAAUGGACUUGCACAUUGUUCUCAGAUGUGCUGGAUGAGGGGAGAGAAGGGGAUGGUGAAUUGGCGACCAGGUCCUGAGAAAGUGCUCUCUCUCCCACAAUCAUGGACUUGCAGAAAGCUCUGGUAUUCCUGAGCUAUUGAAUUGAAAUUUCUUGUUGGACCUACUGACAACAUUUUAGAUUUUCUCUGGCAAACUUUAAAGCCUUUUCAAGACCUAGAAGUUAGCUCACAGUGGGAAAUAAAUCCAUCACCUCACAUGAUUAUCCUCACCUGCUUUACUUAUUUCAGCAAAAUAAGUGCACCACUCUGUUGUUUUGGGAAUACAUCUACUCCUGGGACUUGGUGAAGAGUGUGUGAAAAAGAUGUGACUUUACCCACAUUCUUCCCUUAUCCUUCAAAGCAACUCUUACAAAUUGUGUCUUCAAUCCCUUCAGCAGGUGAGGGACAGUAAGGGACUGAAUGAUUGCCAGGAUGCAUGUGGCUGGAAGGAGAAGGCAGCUCGGAGCUGGACACGGAGGAUGUUGUUGUUGUCAUCUGUUGAAUUUAACCCAUCACCAGUACGGAAGACACAAACAGCACAGCACAAACGGAAAAGUUUAUUGCAAAAACAGAGGGAUGGCAAAGGAGCAUCCUUUUUUUUUCCCUGUGGAAGAAUGAGUGUCUUUGUUUCAACCUUAGGUUCAGCAAUUUCUACCAACUUACUGUCUGCAAAUCUUGGUUCUGCGUUGAUCAUCAUAGCCAUAUGAAAUUAUUUAAAAGAGUUACUUCCCCUAUACUCAAGCCUGCCCCCUGAAUUUCCUGUGACUGAAGAACACAUUUUCUUCUAUCUUCUGCCUCUGACUGGAAGAAACAGCCUCAAAAGAUCAAGAAACAGACCGAUGGACUGUUCUUGGUGUUUCUUUCAGGAAUGAAGUGCUGCUGUGGAAAGCCAUGGAUUUUCACUCAUUUUAACAGUCAGCUGAUAUAUUCAACAGGGAGCUUAUUUUGCUAAAUAAGCUACAAAGCAAAACACCAAGAAGCACACUGCAGUGAAAUAAAAUACAGACUCUAAUUGAUGCAGUAGUUUUGAAUAAAUCUUUCCAUUGUCGCAGUCAGCAUGCUAAAUGCCAAGGCCUGUCAGCACCACUUCUUAGUUACCUACCCAAGGUGGCCCUUUCUUGUUCUUCUCUGACACUGAAGAGUCAAAAUUUGUUCUGCCUCCUGAGUCAUAAGCCAGUCCAAGAACAGGAGCCAAGGAGCCAAGCUUCCAUCUCCUGGAGCAGAACUCGCAGCUGCAGGAACACUUACUGGGAACCUUCACAAAAGAUCAAGUGGGCACCACCACCUGCAAUAUAUGGAUUUAUCAAGCAAGUUCUGCUUUACUCCCAUGAAAAAACAGGCUUCUUACUAAAAGCUUGGGAGGAACCUUUAAUUUCUUGUUCACUGAAAGGAGCCUGGUUCAUGGCCCAUCACCACUGGCUCUAGGCUCCUUCUUUAAUAUUUGUCCUUGUAGGGAAAUUCUUGAAUCCUGAUUGAAAAGGAGCAUGGUAAUGUGCAAACUUGUCUUAAAGUACAAAGUUGUAUUGCCUACUCUGAGAGCAGGCCAGAAGAAUCCCUGUAGCCCUAGAAACAUGAAGUGCAUGGGGAUCUCCAUUAAAAAAGAAAAAAAAAAAAAAAAAGACAGAGAGAGGCUAGAAAGUUAAGGGAAGUUAAGGGUAAGCUUCAAAAGCAAAAUCCCACUUGGAGAGGACAAGCUUAGAAGAAAGCUGAGAGGGAAGUUUAUACAUUUUUGGAGGCAGGUGGAUUCAGGGGAUUCAGGGAAGGGGUGCAUCUUACACACACAUACAUGCACAGAGAAGUCAAAUGUCCACUGUUCAAGAUUCACAUUGCAUGAAACACAGUGAACUCUCAGUGCUAACUGAGGCACAGUAUGGUAGAUGCAAAUUCUUUAAAUCAGUGUGUUCCCUUGUGGACAAUAAUCACUGACUCUGGGCAAUCUCUUUAAAAGUCCUGGUCCCUGCUGGGUGAAGUGCUGGAAUCUGUGCUGUUGCUCUCAGGGUGCCACCCUGCUGCGUUCAAGAUGAAGAAUAAAUAUGCAUGAAGUUGACAGUUAGUUUGGCUUCCACCAAUGCUUAAUUUAGCUCACUUCUCAGUGCUGAAUAAGAUAAAGUAAAACCGAUAAUUAAUAGUUCUUUUAACACAGGGACUAAAGAGCAGCAUGUGAUAAAAAUGCUAAAUCUGGGGAAACUUCGGUGCUGGAAGAAAAAGACGGUGUGGUGCAUUCCACAUUGGUGAGGAGGUACCACAUACUUUGCAGGGCACUAAUGGACUAAACAAAAGAAAAUGUCUGGUCAGAGGAAACAAAGGAAUGCACUGCAGCAUCCAGGAAGGAUGUAGCACAGUCCACACCAGCUGGAAUGCCUCUCCUGAGGAGUCUGAAAUUCCUUCCAUCUCCUCCCCCCUCCUGUUUUUGGUUUUCAAUCUUUGCCAAGAAAAGGACAAAAGCUUUAUUAUGCUUGAAGUCUGGCCACAAACAAAAUUACCUAAAAGGUGCUUCAGAUCAUUUAGUACAUGAGCAUGUGCUAUUUCUGCAGGGACAUGGCAAGCUUUCCCAGUGACUUUUGCCACCAUCCACAAAUUGCAUAUUCCCUCUAUGUUACUUCACAAAGGCCCCUCCUUUUUUUUUUCUUAGCUUGAACCACUGCAGUCACUUCCUCUGAAGCCAGAAGCUGCAGAACUGACAUUGUACAAAGAAUUUCAAAUAAAUUCUGGUAGCCAUUUUGAAGAGGAAAUAUUGGGUGUUCAUUAUUGAUUUUGUUACUUUAUUAUGAUUGUUUCUGUGUAUAGUUGUAAAUGGGAGUUUUUUGUGGGUGUGCUGUGCAACCUGGCUGAGGCAGGCAGAAUAUCUAAGAAAUUUUAGAAUGUUUUUUAAAGUGCAAUAAGUACAAGGCAGAGAAGUACAUUUUUUGUAAUAUGCAUAUACACAUAUAUUACACAUAUAUUGCAUACAUUUAUGCCUGCUCAUCAAACACUCAUUGCUCCCAGACAGAGAGGGUGGGUAGAGUAUUAAGUAAAGAGUCUUCAAUAUUCACUCAAGAAGGGUGAUCUAUGAAUGAUGAAGACAUAGAGGUGGUUGGGAUAAAAUGGGCAAGCUGAGGCUGGCCUCAGUGGCAUGGAAAAGGAAACAAAAGCCACAUGAAAAGAGACAUAAAGAUAAAUAGUAAGGGAACGAACCAUGUCACUCUCUAAGGUGUGGACAAAAUUCUUAAACUCAGUUCAAUGGGAAAAGGAAAGGUUGUUGGGGAAAUUCAAAUCAGCAUGGCAUUGAUAUGUCAGAUAUGUCAGCAAAGCCAGGAACUUUCUAUAAAUAAGGAGAAAAGCAAUGAUCUGUGUCUGAAAUCACUGUAUUUGUAAAUGUUAUCUAUAGAAAUGUUAACUCAUAGAACUGUCAUGCAGAUUGCUUGAUAUUUUCAGCUGAAAGAUAUUGCUUUUAUACCAAAUAUUCUUAUUUUUUUGAUUCCUUUAAAAGACUGUACUCUCUCACAGUAGCUUUUCUGUCCAACCUCAGUAAAGUCUACACUUGAGGUUCCAGUCUCCUACCUCACCUGGUUUUCUGACUGUACAGCACUGAAAGCCCCUGCUGUAAUGUAGAUGUUUGCCUUCAUAAGAAGCAGCCAUGGUCCUGUGUCCAGGAGGAGCCAGCUUCUUCUGACAGAUGACAACUGCCUUUAACUACUUUCCUGGUUGAAAGGGGAGAACCUACCAAUCCACAGGUGGUGAAACCAUUUGGAUGUCAAUUAUACAGGCUGUCCAUCGAGCUGCAUGAGCCAAUAGCUGGUUCACAGCUGAAUGAACCCAGUGUCUGAGAGACUUGAAUUCAGAACAUGUAGCAAAAAACCCUCAGACCUCCAUGCAAAAUUCGUUGAAGGCCGAAAGUGGCAUCAUUUUUGGCCCGACAAUCCUGCGUAUGCGGAAAACCAGAAGGAGGGAAACUUGGUGCCAUGUUAAUGCUGCCCAAAUAUACACAAUGAAGUCAGACUGAAAGCAAUGAAAUUGCAGACGCUCCUCAUGAGCUAAGAGGACCAUUUUCCUUAACCAGUGACCUUCAAUUACAGAGUAGCAAGCAAAUUAGUAGAGACAAAAAAGAAAAACCUGUUAGCCAGAAAAUCUUACUGGCUAAAGCUUGUCUUGUUUCAGUUCCAGUUUCCAUAGCUUUUCGGUAAAAUAUGUGCUGUCUCUUUCUCUUUUGGAGUACUGGUGUUAACUGGAAAUGUUGAUUCUGGGAACAAUGAAUUCCUUCUUAUCAAA